rnacentral:lncRNA from 1 species
CCUGUAUCGUGGUGGUGUCGAUGAAGAUCUACGACGCUCUUGUCGCAUAGGAGAAGGUGAUUUACGUUGCAUAGGGGGCGGUGAUCUACGUCGCAAGGGUGAUGGAGAUUUACGGCGCACAGGAAACAGAGAUCUACGACGUAUAGGUGAUGGAGAUCUACGGCGCCCAGGCGAAGGAGAUCUACGAUGCACAGGUGAUGGAGAUCUUCGACGCACAAGUGAUGGAGAUCUACGACGUCGAACAAGGGAUGGUGAUCUGUGACGUCGAUUUGAUAAUGGUGAUCUAUGACGUCGGAUUGGUGAUGGUGAUCUAUGACGUCGGAUUGGUGAUGGUGAUCUAUGACGUCGGAUAGGUGAUGGUGAUCUAUGACGCCGGAUGGGUGACCGUGAUCUACGACGCACGGGUGUAGGUGAUCUGCGCCGAUAUGGGGAACGUAAUCUACGUCUUAUAGGAGAUCGUGAUCUGCGAGGUGAGCGAGAUCGAGAUCUUCGCCUAGAAU